AAAAAAAAGAAAGCAUAGACAAAAUCCCAUCUGUACAAGGAAAUCAUGAUUAAAGUGGUCAUAUGCAUAUCUAUACUAUUACAUUCGGUACAACAGAAACCAUUGGAUGAAAAGGAUACCAAUGUACAUAAGUUACCAAACAAUGUAUGGAAAACAAAAGGACCAGACAAGAAGGUAAACGAACAGUCAACCCAAAAUAUUUUCGAAACAAGAUUAACAACGUUACCUUCCAUGUCAUCUUUAAAUGACAUGAGAGAGUGGAAAAAUAACCCUACAACAACAUUGCAAGAUAAUCGAAAUCAACAUUCUGAUAUCAACACGAUAGGAAAGAAUGUUACCACUGAAAGUUCACCUACAGACAUAUUUGAAAUUCAUUUUAAUCUUAGUAGCAAACCAAAUGCGUCUGAAGCAAAUCUGUCUACUACAACAACUAUGUUUACGGUUAUAGGAGCUGUUAUUGCAGUUAUUCUACUAUUAUAAAACUAAGAAGAUGUGGUAUAAUAGAAAAUAAAUGAUAUGGGGUUUCCAUCAAUGACACAAGCAUUUCCAAGCAUUGAUGAAGUCGCUCACGAAUAGUAUUCAUUGUGUGGACAUAUUGUAUACCUUUGAAACAAUCUCCCGAACAAUUUGGAACAAUGCACAUAGCAUUUUAAAUCUCAACUUAAAAAUAUUUUUAAUCGUUUUCCUUUUUAAUAACAUUUAAUUGAUAUAUUUUGUAUCUAAAUUGAGACACGAAUAUGUAGUGUGCUUUUUGCGCAGCAUGUUUUCUUUUUAUUGUAAUUGUAUUCACAUUAAGUCUACAUUUUGUAUUCCUUUCUCAGGGAUUUUACCUCUUUAGCAUGAUUUUUGGACGACAGGAGUAUUCAACUUCUAAUUAUUAUUUUGUUUUAUUUUAAUAUGUAAUGUUAUAUUGACUUUUUACAUGCUAUUCAUUUUUAUUGUAUUUUUUAUUUCAGUAAUUGCAUCUGGUGUAUUGUAGGUUUUGUGUUUUUCUUUUCUUUUUAAAUUGUUUUAUUUACCAUCAUGGUUCAUUGCCCAGUUUAUUCCAGCUACAUAUAUCAUUGGCAUUGUCAGUUUGUUUUCGACUUAUGAGAGUAGCUAUCCCUUGGUAACUUCCGCCUCUCUUUUGAAUCUAAAGACCAAAAGCAAAACUCCUAAGUCGUACAUCUGCCUAACUGAACAAGCCUCGUAUCUUUGGCUAUUAAUCUAUUUUAUGAAAAGGAAAUAAAACCUCUAAAAUGCAAAAAAAAAAAUUUGUUGUGCAAUUUCGUGUAUCUACUGCCAAUUUUAUGUAUCUUCUGCAAAUUUUAUGUAUUAUAAAGAGAUAAAUCUAAUUAUUACAUUGGUUACAAUGAAUUACCGUGAUUUCCCAGUGAAAUAAAAACCGAUAAUUUCACAUGAGAAAUAACCUUGGUUAUUUCACUCCUCUGACGUCAUACAACAAUAGGUGUUGUCAAGACGUUUCGAACAACACUGAUAAUUACGCGCAUUCGUGAGUUAAUGUGUUGUUCGGUCAUACGUUGAAUAUUUUAUAUUUAUAUUUUUAUAUAUUUGACUUCUUCGAUUAGUUAUUGUAUAACUAUCAAACAAUACAGAUUAU